UGUCACCCAACUCUAUGUCAUCCAAGUGCUACCCGUUAUGUACAGGUUAUGUACGAGUGAGUACAUACAUCACUGAUAAUGGCGUGUCCCAUUUCAAUUAUUUUUUACUAAGUUUUAAACUAUAUUACGGUUGUCUUAUAAUUCAUUGGAGGCUGCCACCUUCUUUUCAAUGUAGAGUGCGUUUGGAAGGGUUUAUUUGGAUCUAUCUUAUGACAUAAAGGCUUAUGUAAGUAUUUGGAAGAGCCUAUACAAAUAGCUUACGAGCUUCACCAUAAGUUGUUUUCUGGUUUUUGUCAUUCAUUGAACACGUAAAACAGAGAGCAGAAAAAAAAUGAGGCAAGAAAAAGAGAACAGAGAGUCAGAACAAAGAAAGAAAAAGAAAUCUUAGAAAGACAAACUUAACACAGGAAGAGAUUCAGAAGAUAGAAAGAAAAAUAUUUAUUUUUUAAUUUUUUUAUAUAUAUCCUCGUUUGCUAUUCAAAAAACGGAAGAGAAAACAUAGAAAGGAAAAAUAGAACAGAUUCAGAACGAAGAAAGAAAAAGAAAACAUGGAAAACAGAGGAAGAGAAAACAGAUGAGAGAUGAUAGGACAUAGAAAGAAUGCGAGAUGGAACAAAACAAAGCCAUGAAACUUAACAGAGGAAGAGAAAAGAGAAAAACCUGAAUAGAGGAAGAUGAAAGGGUUAGGGUUAAUCGGCAACGGCGGCGGUUUGAUGGGCAGCUACGAUGGCUGAAGAGUUACGGAGAAGAGUUUUUGUGAUGAAAUAUUGUCAGGGUUUUCAAGUUUUGUGCAAUGGAACAGUUGGCUGAAGUGUGAGGAAAGGGAAAACGGUCAGGGUUAAUCCGGAAUCCCCAAAUUGUCCUCGAAAUGAAUUAAAAUUUAGGGUUUUUGUGUUUAAAACAAAAUGGCAGAUCAGAACCCGCUGCCCACCAUGCCGCUAUAGCACUUGGGGGGCCUCUAUUGCGAACUGCUGUAGUCAUUCCUGGUGUGGCCCACGAUCGCUCCGCUUCACCGCUAUAGCGCACUAUUGACUACCUAGCUUAUAACUUAUAAUAACAGCUUAGACAGAGCUUAUGCAGAGUUAAAACCAUUAGUUAUUUGGUUCAUAUGGUUAGUGGGGAGCGUCUAAUGUGAACCUUAAUUUAAAGGAACCUUUAGUGGGCCUACGGCUACUUGCAAUAGCCGGUCGCUACUAUAUGGGUAUCAAUCUUGUGGGACCGGAUAGCAUUUUGUUAUAAAUUUCCCUCUCUAUUAAACUCCUCCAUAAAAACUCAAAUAUAGGGGCACUCUCUCUUUCUCAUUGUGCAGUUGAAAUGGUGUUAAGGAUUUGGUUUCUUUCAUAGUUUUUAUUGCUAAGUGAGAAAGCAACGAACCCUUAAACCUCCCUCUCUUUACCAGCUGUGGAUCGUUAAAAAAUUUCCGGAUAAUAGUUUUACCUUACUACCAUUUGCAGUUCUUGUACCAGUGAAAUGAAAAUUAAAGCUUCGAUCUUUCUUUCCUCUUUUGGAAAAUCUAACCUUUGAACUUCCACAAUAGUUAAUUACCAACACAAGUAUGACCGUAUGAGAUUACUCUUUUUAGGAAAGAGAUAUGUUGGGCAUUUAAUCUAAAUGAUUUAUGUUUCUCUUAUUUGAGAUUGUCAUGAGUCAUGACUGUUGUUGAUUAUAGAGAAAACAUAAGAAUAUUGCUUGAAAUGAGGAAAAAGCUUUGUUUAUAGUUUUUAAAUUGUUCAGAUCCAUUUGUGACUUGAAAAUAGCCAUUUAUGUAGCUAGAUGAUGGGUUUGAAAGGAAUAGAUUGUGUUCAAAUAUAGGUCAACAUUGCAGUGGUUCUAGAGGAGUUUUACCACGGGAGAGAGUACAUGUUUUAAAUAACUGCAAAUAUAAACUGAAUGCUAAUUGGUCCCACAAGAUUGAUACCCUUUAUAAUGGUGACCCACUAUACCAGGUAACUUAUUGAGGUCCACCAAUGGACCCUUUAAAUUGAGGUCCGGCUAGGUUUUUAGAACAGUGUAUUUUAUGUUGGUAAAAUAGAAUUGGUCCAUUAGUCUAAUUUCAGGGCAUCAUGUAAGUAUUUCCAUUGUAAACACCAGCUAUGCGUCCGUCUAUACAAUGAAUCUUCUUCCUUUCUUUUGGGAGGUAUAUACAAGUGCGAAUACAUUUCAUUAUACAAUGAAUCUUCUUCCUAUCUUUUGGGAGGUAUAUAUAAUAUACAAGUGUGAAUACAUUUACAUUCCAUAGGUCACAACAGUAAUAAUGUAAUAUUGGAAUAGGAUAAUCAUAAUGCUGCUCUAUAUGGAAAACUUCUUUUUUUUCGAAAAAUGGAAAACUUCUCCUUAGAAAGUGGUUUCGGCUUUGUCUCUCUGUUUUGGGUUUCGGCAAUGGCAGGGGUGUUGGCGUAUGGCACUGACGCUUUUGUUUGGUUUUGGGGCUGUUGUGGGGAGGUCUCGUGUUGGAAUUUGAAAGUUGGUUUUUUAUUGGCUUGUGUCGGAUGAGGUGCAGAUGUGGUGGAAGGUUGUGGUAGGGGCUGAUAUUGUUGUUGCUCAAUGGAUUCUAGUUAUGGGUUUUGUUUGAUUGUUGUUUGGAGAUCAUAUGGAUGUAGUGGCUUGCGGGUGUGGACAUAUUUUAGUGGUCUUUUAGUGUUUGAGGUUGGGGGUUGGGGCAAUUGUUAAUCUUCACGAGAGUUUGUGCGAUUUGGUUUGGUUGUUUUGUGUAAUUGUUUGGGUGUCAUUAAUAUGGCUUUUAUUUUGUGGUUUUGUACACGAACUUUGCUUUGUUCGUAUCACUUUUUUUGGGUGUUCCGCCUAUAUACGGCACUGUUGCUUUGUAACUCUUGUUUCACUUAUCUCUGUUCGUCUUGAACAAGGAUUUUCAAUAGAUUUAGCCUUUUAAAAACAAAAAAAAAAAAUUAUAGUACACUAUGGGUGGUCUUGUUGGAGAGUGACAUACAGCAAACCCCAUGGAAAGUGGCUAGGAUUUGGAACGUGAUUCUCUGCAGUUAUAUAAAUAACACAGUCACACUGUCAAUUAAAACACAGCCAACCGGUUUUUUUCUAUGGUUCAGAUUCACACUUCUAUGAUUUUCCACUGUAUGGCCAAACGUGCAGGAUAGUAAAAAUUGAAUUCCAUUCAAUCACGCCAAUUUAUCAAUUUCAAUCGAAAGUUCCAAAAUUCUAAUUCAUUUCAUUUCUGUUGUUCUUGCGUUCUGUUCCAAUUUGUUAAUUUCAAGGUGACAAUUUGUUAAUUUCAUGGAGGGUGGACGGGGAUUGGAAGGCUAACACCCGUGAGUUUCCCCCAUGCGUCAUCCUCGUAUAUGGACACAUCUGGUCUGAGCACCAUGACAGGUUGUCUCAACCACCACACAAUUCAUGAAACUAUUAACCUUCCAAACUCAUUGCAUGACCAAUAAAUUAACAAUCUGAAUCAGCCCAUCACAGUGGCACGGUUGUUGGCGGUGGUGGAUUAUAUGACCUCCGACAUAGUUGCAAUGUUUGAUGCGUCCCUAAUGUCGGUCUACUAAUGAAUCAUGUUUAAGAGGUUUAUUAAGAUGAUGAGAAAGGCAUCGUGCACAAGGAAAAGGGGAGAACUUUGAGAACAAUUCAAAUUUUCACAACCCUGAAGAUGCGUUUUGAUGGCGGCGUGAGUUUUCCCUUUCUACUAUCAUGGGUUAUGCUUAAAGUGGAAAAAGUAGAGAAGAUGAAUCUGCACCGUUUAUUUGAUCAGAUGGUUAUGUUUUGUUUGAAUGUGUGACUGUGUCAUUUUACUGACUGCAGUGAGUCACAGUCCCUAGGAUUUACAUUGAAAAUUGAAUUUGUUUUGCGAUAAUCUGGUGGCGUGUUGGUGUUGCUAUAGAAAUUUUAUUAGAUUCCCAUUUACCAUGGCAUCCAAUUAUGCUAAUUAAUGUUUGGUAUAAUGUUGUUAAUUGUGGAUUGCAAAAAACAGCAGUUCAUUCAAAUUCCGCUCUGCAACAGUGUUAUAGAGCCAUUCAAAUUCCACUUUGCAACAGUGUUAUAGAGCCUCUGUUUGACAACAUUCUCUCUAGAUAGUGUAUCGCGGAACAGCAGUGAUUUGUUCAAAUUCUGCUAUGGAGUAUCCAUUGAAGUGUACAAUCCUGUUUUGAACUUCUAUUGAACUCAAUAGAGCUUCGUUUCAAGUUAACCAAAGUACAAACUAAAGAUUCGACCAAAACAAAAGUACAGACAAAGGAGGGCGUAUGCGGAAGUUCUUACUUGGACUUAUGACAAAAGCGUGGCUCAGGCUAGCGUGAGCGAGCCUAGCAUAUCGUUCACCGUGCGCCAAUCAUUUUACAACUGUUGACAUGAACGGUCAAGAUUAAAAUACUCUUAUCUUUAUGUGUGCUCCCACAAUGCAGUUCACUCAGUUCAUCCUCAAGCAAAGGAUGUUUGACUCAAGGACCUAUCUGUUGUUGCACCCACUCCGUCGAUGACCAACAAAUUGAUCUCCAUAAUCCAAGACAAAAUCGAACAAAAACCAUAAAAGCGUGAUACCAAUCCUGAACAAAUCUAGAAGGCAUUUAAGGAUAUUAUAGUAUUCAGGCUAAACUCUUGGAUGAAUUCAACGCAUCAUUCUCAGCCUCCUUGUUUGAUUUAACUUGGUACUAGCAUAUUAAUCAACAACAAUUCCAUAAUAUACUGUGUUGGAGAUUUGGAGCCAAGAAUUUUGAGUUGUAAUCAUAAUUAAACGCAUUUGUCAUUAUUACUUGAGUGAGGUCUCUCAUCUAUAUGAUUGUAUAUCUAAUCAAAUACACAGUACACUGAAUGGAUGGGGUAGGUGUAGCGUAGCUUAGUAGAGGAAAUCAAACAUACAUAUCGAGCAAUCAUAAUAUUUUGUUUUCUACCCCUUUUUGGCUUUGAGUUUGAGCAAUCAAAAUAUCAGCACUUUUGUCCCCUUGCUGGAUAGCAAAAGGUCGUCACACUUGGAACUUUUGUUCUUUUGGAGAUAUAUGAACGACAGAAACUGAAAAUUUAAAAAGCUAUAGUAUUUUUGGCAAUGUGCCCUCCCUAUUAUUAUCCUCAACUGUACUUAAGAACAGUUUGAUACAGUCUUUCUAAUAUUUGAUGUAAGUUUGUAACCUUUUAAUCUACUGUAUGA